CCUCUCUCCUCUCUCUCUCUCUCUGCAUCAGCCUUCUUCUUCCCCAAGAAACUCCUUCCGCUGCUCAGUCAACGAACAUUCCCACGAGUACCCUUUAUAUAUAUAUCCCAUCUCUCUCCGCGCUCUAGCUUCACGCCCCAUCAAGAACAACCAACCCUUCGCAAAAAGUCGCUCUCUUGAUCCGUCAACCGGCGCCGGUCCGAGGAACCUCCGGCGACCCAAUUCGCUAAAUGGUGCUCCCGUUGCUGAAGCUCGGGACCCUCGUCGUCAAGACGCUGAGCAAGCCCGUCGCGAGCCGGCUCAAGCAGCAGGCCGCCCUCCACCCGCGGUUCCGGGAGCUCAUCGUCGGCUUCGCUCAGGCUAAUCAUCGAAUGACAACAAACGUACAAAGAAGGUUAUAUGGUCAUGCAACUGAUGUGGAGAUCCGGCCUUUGAAUGAACAGAAAGCUGUACAGGCUGCAGUGGACCUGAUUGGAGAACUUUUUGUCUUUUCGGUUGCUGGAGCUCUUGUGAUCUUUGAGGUACAACGAAGUGCUAAAUCAGAAGCCAGAAAGGAGGAAAAACGCAGGGAAGAACUGGAGGCAAUGAGGCAAAGGGAUGAAGCUUUAGAGAAGGAGGUGGAACUUCUCAAGCAAAAACUCGCAGAGCUUGAGCAACUAGCCAAGGGACGAGGUCUUUCCGGCCUUUUCAACUUCAAACAUGCUAAUACAGAAGAUGCAAAGAUAGCGAAACCAGCUUGAGGCUUUGACCAGCAGAGUAGGAUCCAUUACUAUAAUAAAAACAAGAUUCAUCCAUACCGUCCACCCAAUUGUGGAAAACCAAUUCUUCCGGUCUUUUUUGCCAAUUCUUUAAUUUGUAUCUUUCUUGGUUUGUUUCUUCAGAAAUAGAAGGCCACAUGGUUAGACAUUUUUGGAAGAUGAGAGGAAGGCAAUUGAAUGGAACCGCGGAGGAUCCGUGUCACUGGAACAAUUAACAUUGAAGAGUUUGGUUUCUUGAUUCAUCUGCAACUUAGCUGAAAAACGGGGUCUACAGCAGAUUUGAUAAACUCAUUGCAGAAGGUCACCGACAUAAAAAUAUGGUAGAUUUUACUUUUCAUCUAAAACGGGUCCUCUUGGUCUAUAAAGGACAAUUUGAGCAGCAAUGCCUGCAUAUGCAGCAUGUGCAUCAAAAUAAAAGACAACCGUCAGUUGGGGUUCCAAGAAAAUCUGUAGAAAAUUGUACUGCUCAUCAAGGGCAAAAAAUGUUCAGCCAUAGAAAUUUCAUGCUAAAUGGUCAAGAAAUCCCCAUUGAAGCACCUUAAGGAAUGUUUUGGGACGUCAAUCAGUCUCAAUUCUUCACAAGAAUGACAGUCUCCAGUUCUUUUCAAGCAAUCUCAUUUCUUCUGAACUUAUGUUCCAUCAAAUUUAACUUAUGUAUUUCUCAAGUAAAAACACGAGAUUUUCCUCGCUUUGAGCUUGAGGAACGGUUUGAGACGUCACCUGAAGUUAUCUGAAGUAUGUGA